rnacentral:rRNA from 1 species
UACGUAGGGUGCGAGCGUUGUCCGGAAUUACUGGGCGUAAAGAGCUCGUAGGUGGUUUGUCGCGUUGUCCGUGAAAACUCACAACUCAAUUGUGGGCGUGCGGGCGAUACGGGCAGACUGGAGUACUGCAGGGGAGACUGGAAUUCCUGGUGUAGCGGUGGAAUGCGCAGAUAUCAGGAGGAACACCGGUGGCGAAGGCGGGUCUCUGGGCAGUAACUAACGCUGAGGAGCGAAAGCAUGGGGAGCGAACAGG